UACGUAGGGUGCGAGCGUUAAUCGGAAUUACUGGGCGUAAAGCGUGCGCAGGCGGUUUUUUAAGUCAGAUGUGAAAUCCCCCGGCUUAACCUGGGAACUGCAUUUGUGACUGUAUAGCUAGAGUACGGUAGAGGGGGAUGGAAUUCCGCGUGUAGCAGUGAAAUGCGUAGAUAUGCGGAGGAACACCGAUGGCGAAGGCAAUCCCCUGGACCUGUACUGACGCUCAUGCACGAAAGCGUGGGGAGCAAACAGGAUUAGAUACCCUGGUAGUCCACGCCCUAAACGAUGUCAACUGGUGGUUGGGUCUUCACUGACUCAGUAACGAAGCUAACGCGUGAAGUUGACCGCCUGGGGAGUACGGCCGCAAGGUUG
rnacentral:rRNA from 1 species